UCUAUAUAGGCCCCCUAUUAUAUAGAAUUUAGCUCUAGUCGACUCUAGACUAGAUCUAGGAUAAAUCUCAAGUCUAGAUGAUCACGACAUGACCAACAUGAUGAUUAAUCAUUAAUCUGACUUACUGACUUGUUAACUUAAACUUCGUCUUACUCUUAGAUCUAGCUUCUUCAUAUGUGAACCAUGAAUGAAUGGAAGUAGGGAAGUGUUUAGCUUACAGUGUCACAGAUCGUUCUUUAAACUAUUUGAAGAUCUACUUUAUCUUUACUAACGACUCUAAUCUAGAUCUAUAUCUAGUUUAUAUCUAUAUAUAAUAUAUAAAUAUUAUAAUAGCCCUAGACUCUUAUACUUAUAAGAUCUAGAAUUAGAAUCUGUAUCUAGAUCUAUUCUUAUACACUGCUAAUACACUACAGAUUUAAUGUUUCUCAUGAGCAAUACUACUGUCUACAGCCAUUGCCCAUUAACAUAGGCCCUACUCAUGUACUGGAUCUAGCUCUUUUGAUCACAACUCAUAUCUUGCCUAGAUAUAAACAACUGUACUAGAUUGAACUAGACAUUCUAAUUGGUUCUAUUUUCUUUUUUCAUUAUUCUCACACAUUCCAGUAGGUACCAAAUUGUGCUAUUUAUUCACUGUAGAUCUAGAUCUUAACUUUUCUCUUAACUACCAAAGAAGUACACAAAGGAUGUUGAAUGGUACCCAAAAGGGAUCUAGUUGCUACCAUUCAAUGUGUGGAUUCAAGUAUUUAUCCAGAUACGGCCACAAUAUGUUCUUAUUGUUUUCAAAGGAGUUUGCACACAGUGCCAGAAGCUGUAUAAAUAAAUUUAACAAUGUAUAUUUCAAGAAGAAAUGAUGCUAUUUUAUUCCUUAGAGUUUAUCAAUAGGAUGGAUGCCACAAAACUCACUUGUUAUGCCAGAAACUCUUCCUACAAAACUUCCAUACAAGAAUUUGUCCAGUGCCUGUGAUCCUCUGAGUUGAAGGAGAAUGUGCUCCAUAAUACCUACUAGGAGCUUGCUGAUAGCUGGAAGUUCAUGAAUACUAUGUUGUCCUUGAUUUGAUGAUUCUGAAAACUACCAUUUCUGAAGAGUUGAGCAUUAUUUCUAUAAUUUAAAAAAAUCUUUUCAGGAAAUAUUGUGUUUAUAAUAUUAAGAAAGUGAAGAUAAUAUUCUUCUUACUAAUAUUAUUGACUUAUUAAAAUAGAAAGCACAUCAUUACCAAUAUUCACUUGUCAAUAAAUGCAUUAUUCAAUUUUUA